AGAUAUGUGGUCGAUGUUAUCG
rnacentral:siRNA from 1 species